AGUGAGCUGCGCCCUCCCUUCUCCUUACUUUUUCCUGUGUCAUUGAACACAACUCGAGACUUUCGAAACCUCCCACUCAGUAUCGGAUGAAUAACACAGUUUGAUGUUUUGCUUGUUCUGCUGACGGACACGUUAAAGACGUCUGCGCUCCCGUUUCUGUGCAUGUCCAGCAUGAGACAACUGGAAUUCAACCACAUUGAACACCGACUUCAGGGACAGACGAGCCUGAAGGACACAGCUGUGAUGACCAUGUUCUGUCUCUUAUGGCAAAGCAGAAAUAUAAAACACUGGGUUCUUAUCUAAAGUGUAUCAAAUCAGAUCUCCACCAUGUUGCUGCUGAGGACAUCAGUUGUCUUCCAGUUGACCAGCAUGAAGCUGCAGAUCUCCACCAUGUUGCUGCUGGGGACAUCAGGAGCUGCAUUAAUGAGGAGCAGAAGCGUACUGUUAUGAAUGUUUUGUGUUGUUUAUGAAGCACUACUUAUUUCAGCUAGAACCGAUGUACUAGGGUCUGGGUUUGUAUCCUAAUGGUUAAAUGCACAUACUUUAAAUCGCUUUUGAUAAAACGUGACAAAGAAAUACAACAUUGUACACAUAGAUAAAAUGUCUUUCUACCUCAUCUGUAAUAUUCAAGGUGAUGAUCUCCCACAGAGCUGUUGAUAACAGUCCACAUCAAGUCUCUCCACUUCCCUCAGUGUGAAAACAUAAUUAUAUAAUUAAUUGGAGAAGUGUUUACAACACUGAUGUGUGGACAUUAUAAUGUUAUCACUACUGUCUAAUUCACUCUACAACUCCAUGACAGACUAAAUAAACAAUGUGAAAAUAGUAAUGGCGGAUAUACCAUCCUGUAUCAGAAUAUUGGUGAAACAGUUACUAUCACAUGAAACGUAAACGUGUAGCGUAUUGAUAGUAACU